rnacentral:rRNA from 1 species
UUAAAUUGAAGAGUUUGAUCAUGGCUCAGAUUGAACGCUGGCGGCAGGCCUAACACAUGCAAGUCGAGCGGUAGCACAGAGAGCUUGCUCUCGGGUGACGAGCGGCGGACGGGUGAGUAAUGUCUGGGAAACUGCCUGAUGGAGGGGGAUAACUACUGGAAACGGUAGCUAAUACCGCAUAACGUCGCAAGACCAAAGUGGGGGACCUUCGGGCCUCAUGCCAUCAGAUGUGCCCAGAUGGGAUUAGCUAGUAGGUGGGGUAACGGCUCACCUAGGCGACGAUCCCUAGCUGGUCUGAGAGGAUGACCAGCCACACUGGAACUGAGACACGGUCCAGACUCCUACGGGAGGCAGCAGUGGGGAAUAUUGCACAAUGGGCGCAAGCCUGAUGCAGCCAUGCCGCGUGUGUGAAGAAGGCCUUCGGGUUGUAAAGCACUUUCAGCGGGGAGGAAGGCGAUAAGGUUAAUAACCUUGUCGAUUGACGUUACCCGCAGAAGAAGCACCGGCUAACUCCGUGCCAGCAGCCGCGGUAAUACGGAGGGUGCAAGCGUUAAUCGGAAUUACUGGGCGUAAAGCGCACGCAGGCGGUCUGUCAAGUCGGAUGUGAAAUCCCCGGGCUCAACCUGGGAACUGCAUUCGAAACUGGCAGGCUAGAGUCUUGUAGAGGGGGGUAGAAUUCCAGGUGUAGCGGUGAAAUGCGUAGAGAUCUGGAGGAAUACCGGUGGCGAAGGCGGCCCCCUGGACAAAGACUGACGCUCAGGUGCGAAAGCGUGGGGAGCAAACAGGAUUAGAUACCCUGGUAGUCCACGCCGUAAACGAUGUCGAUUUGGAGGUUGUGCCCUUGAGGCGUGGCUUCCGGAGCUAACGCGUUAAAUCGACCGCCUGGGGAGUACGGCCGCAAGGUUAAAACUCAAAUGAAUUGACGGGGGCCCGCACAAGCGGUGGAGCAUGUGGUUUAAUUCGAUGCAACGCGAAGAACCUUACCUGGUCUUGACAUCCACAGAACUUUCCAGAGAUGGAUUGGUGCCUUCGGGAACUGUGAGACAGGUGCUGCAUGGCUGUCGUCAGCUCGUGUUGUGAAAUGUUGGGUUAAGUCCCGCAACGAGCGCAACCCUUAUCCUUUGUUGCCAGCGGUUAGGCCGGGAACUCAAAGGAGACUGCCAGUGAUAAACUGGAGGAAGGUGGGGAUGACGUCAAGUCAUCAUGGCCCUUACGACCAGGGCUACACACGUGCUACAAUGGCAUAUACAAAGAGAAGCGACCUCGCGAGAGCAAGCGGACCUCAUAAAGUAUGUCGUAGUCCGGAUUGGAGUCUGCAACUCGACUCCAUGAAGUCGGAAUCGCUAGUAAUCGUAGAUCAGAAUGCUACGGUGAAUACGUUCCCGGGCCUUGUACACACCGCCCGUCACACCAUGGGAGUGGGUUGCAAAAGAAGUAGGUAGCUUAACCUUCGGGAGGGCGCUUACCACUUUGUGAUUCAUGACUGGGGUGAAGUCGUAACAAGGUAACCG